GAAAAGAAAAGAAAAGAAAAGAAAAGAAAAGAAAAGAAAAGAAAAGAAAAGAAAAGAAAAGAAAAGAAAAGAAAAGAAAAGAAAAGAAAAGAAAAGAAAAGAAAAGAAAAGAAAAGAAAAGAAAAGAAAAGAAAAGAAAAGAAAAGAGGAGAAUUUGACUUAGUACCAACACCAAGGUGAAGCAGAGCAGGGAGGGAGAAGUGUGGCUGAAGAUUCACUGCACAUGAUUUUUGCAAAUCUUUUUAUUUGUGGGUCCUGGUGGAAAGACUACAACAUCAUCAUUCAAGGCAUGAGGAGGAGCUGCUUAUCAUCUCUUCACUGACUCACACCCUCAGCUUCUGGAUUUCAGGCACUUUAGCUCUCUCAGCUAAAUGGAAUGCCAACCCAACUCCUUCUAACAACUUGUUCUCUGAAGAGGUGUGAUUUGGCAGAUCUUUUGAGGAAAAGAGGCGAAACAACUCCUUAGCCACAUCACCAUGGAAAUACAAAUACAAACAGAGCAUCUCCUGCUUCCACAGACUCCAGUCGUUCGCAGCUCAAAGGCACCGUGGAGCACGAGGUGUAACAGACCCAGGAGCUCAGAUAACACGGCUUGUGAAAGCUGGACUGUGAUGGAGGCAACCUCACAUCAGGCUCCACCUUCUCCUCACCACACUCCCCACUGGACCAGUACUACUAGGAUUUCCAUACACCAUGACAUACCUUUUGGAGACCUGGACUACAAAAUUACAACAGCUCAGUGUUAAAGUCAGGUUUUUUUCCCCUUACAUCCAAUGUUCCCUCUUAAUCUCUCAAAUGCAGCAUCCUGGUCCUGCUCCCUGGGAUUUCAAAAGGUAUGUUUCUCUUAAAACUCCACUUAUCUUUUACCCUAUGGAAAGAGCAACUCCAGCCACUCUUUUCCUUUGGACUGGUAAGGUGAGUCCAUUCCCAUAUCUUCUAAGGUCCCAUUUUUUCUACAAAUAACUCUCUUUUCCUGCUCUUUCUCUGUGCCUUCACACUCUGAAGCAUCUUCACCACAUGACACUAUCCAUAAUAAGAAAACUCUCAUCUACUCAAUCCACUCUUUCCUUGGAAAUUAGAAUUAUUAGAAAAUAGUCAUUUGUGUGAACUCUGAAGCAGAAGGAAGCUAAGUUCAUGUGAGAAACUAACACCAGAAAAAAAUUAUUCCUGUAUAUUGAACAGUAAUAUCUGGUUUUGCUAUUCAAACUAUCAACCAUUUGAAGCAAUGCUGUUAGUAGAAUUUAGAAUUUAUGAUUUUGAAAGAUACCAUGCAUUCAGUCACAUGUUAACCUUCUCUCAGAAAAAGCAAAUGUUCACCAGUCAUUAACAUUAUCGUUCUUUUUAGGAUAUUUUGCCAAGGGGAAAAUGGCUAAGUAUGACAAAUGUUAACUAUGCAUAGUUUACUUGAGUAUCUGAUAGAUGGGUGGUUAAAUGGAUGAGCAGAAUAUGUUCCUUAGAAGAUCUCUAGACAACUUCUUUGAAUAUUCAUAGUUUUGUGCUUACAGGCAAUAGUUCUGUGCACCGGCCCAUUCUACUGAUAGCAGAUACAAAGAACAUCUUUCCCUCUCAUGACUAAACUAUAUAGAAAUAACCAGUAGAAAUACUCUUGCAAAACAUUCACAGAUCUUGCAGAUUGGUUUGUGAAUAAUCAUGUAAACACUGGAAAAACUUACUUUGCUUGUGGUACAGAGAUU